CCUACGGGAGGCAGCAGUGAGGAAUAUUGGUCAAUGGCCGGAAGGCUGAACCAGCCAUGCCGCGUGAAGGUCAGUGCCCUAUGGGCGUUAAACUUCUUUUGUGCGGGAGCAAUAAUGGUCACGUGUGGCCAGACGAGAGUACCGUACGAAUAAGCAUCGGCUAACUCCGUGCCAGCAGCCGCGGGAAAACGGGGGAUGCAAGCGUUAUCCGGAGUUAUUGGGUUUAAAGGGUGCGUAGGCGGGGAGGUAAGGCAGCGGUGAAAUGCCCCCGCUCAACGGGGUGAAGUGCCAUUGUUACUGCCUUGCUGGACUGCUGAUGCCCUGGGAGGAAUGUGUGGUGUAGCUGU
rnacentral:rRNA from 1 species